rnacentral:rRNA from 1 species
UCGGGGCUCAAGCUAUAUACCGAAGUUGAAAGCCCAAUUUAUUGGGCGGUAGAGGAGCGUUCUGUAUCCGCUGAAGCCGCGGCGUAAGCCAGUGGUGGAGGGUACAGAAGUGAUAAUGUUGGCAUGAGUAACGUCGGCAGAUGAAAAUUCUGCCCGCCAAUACCUAAGGGUUCCUACGCAACGUUCAUCGACGUAGGGUUAGGCGAGACCUAACAUUGUGCCGAAAGGUUUCAAUGGAUGGAUAGCUGGUUAAUAUUCCAGCCCCUGUGUUAUCAGUGAGGGAGUUACACGUCAUGAAGCGUUUCAAAGGCUUAAGAAUUGUCUUUGGAGUGUGGAAGCAUCUUACAUUCGUGUAGGAACGUUAUAUAGGAAAAUCCGUAUAACGAAAAGGCGUCAAGAAAACCUUCUAAACUUAUGGUAAUACAGCUCGUACCGAGAACAGACACUUGUAGGUUGAUUGAGUAUAUUAAGGCGAUCGAGACAACUAGGAAUAAGGAACUCGGCAAAAAAGCGAUCGUAACUUCGGGAUAAGAUCUCCUUGCAGCAAUGUGAGGCGCAGCGAAAGAAGGGGGGGGACUGUUUAUCAAAAACACAGCUCUCUGCUAGCAUGUAAAUGGAUGUAUAGAGGGUGAUGCCUGUCCAGUAUCAGAAUGUUAACUCCACUUGUGCAAGCUCGUGGACUAAGCACUGAUAAACGACGGCCGUAACGAUGACGGUCCUAAGGUAGCGAAAUUCCUUGUCAGGUAAGUUCUGACCCGCAUGAACGGCAUAACCAUCCCCCUACUGUCUUGUUCCUAGACUCGGUGAAAUUACACUCCCGGUAAAAAUGCCGGGUAGGUGCGGUUAGACGGAAAGACCCUAUGAAGCUUUACUGAAGGUUGGUAUUGGGUCGUGAUUUACGAUGUUCAGUAUACGUGGGAGGCGUUGAGGCCAAGACGUUAGUCUUGGUGGAGCCAUCAGUGAGAUACCACGCAUUGUAUGUUGCGGCUCUAACCCCGAAAAAUCGGGGAACAGUGCUAGCUGGUCAGCUUACCUGGGGCGGGUGCCUCCGAAAGAGUAACGGAGGCGUACAAAGGUUGGCUUGCUACGGAUGGAAACCGUGGUGAAUGUAUAUUCGCAUAAGCCAGCUUAACUGUGAGACUGACACGUCGAGCAGAAUGGAAACAUGGUGAAAGUGAUCCGGAUUUUCUGUAUGGAAAGGAAUCCGCUCAACGGAUAAAAGCUACUCUGGGAUAACAGGCUUAUGGGAUCCAAGCGUCCACAGCGACGAUCCCGUUUGGCACCUCGAUGUCGGCUCGUCGCAUCCUGGGGCUGUAGAAGGUCCCAAGGGUUGGGCUGUUCGCCCAUUAAAGCGGGACGCGAGCUGGGUUCAGAACGUCGUGAGACAGUUCGGCCCCUAUCUGCCGCAUCCGUAAGAAAUUUGAGAAGAUCUGUCCCUAGUACGAGAGGACCGGGAUGGACUAGCCUCUAGUGUUUCAGUUGUUCUGUCAAGGGCAUUGCUGGGUAGCUACGCUGGGAAAGGAUAACCACUGAAAGCAUCUAAGUGGGAAACCAACUUCAAGAUUAGAUUUCUCCUCUUUAUGAGAUAAGGUCACCAGUAGACUACUGGGUUGAUAGGCGUCAAGUGGACAUGCAGUAAUGUAUGCAGCUAAGACGUACUAAGUGACC